rnacentral:rRNA from 1 species
GAUGAACGCUGGCGGCGUGCCUAAUACAUGCAAGUCGAGCGAACGGACGAGAAGCUUGCUUCUCUGAUGUUAGCGGCGGACGGGUGAGUAACACGUGGAUAACCUACCUAUAAGACUGGGAUAACUUCGGGAAACCGUAGCUAAUACCGGAUAAUAUUUUGAACCGCAUGGUUCAAAAGUGAAAGACGGUCUUGCUGUCACUUAUAGAUGGAUCCGCGCUGCAUUAGCUAGUUGGUAAGGUAACGGCUUACCAAGGCAACGAUGCAUAGCCGACCUGAGAGGGUGAUCGGCCACACUGGAACUGAGACACGGUCCAGACUCCUACGGGAGGCAGCAGUAGGGAAUCUUCCGCAAUGGGCGAAAGCCUGACGGAGCAACGCCGCGUGAGUGAUGAAGGUCUUCGGAUCGUAAAACUCUUUUAUUAGGGAAGAACAUAUGUGUAAGCAACUGUGCACAUCUUGACGGUACCUAAUCAGAAAGCCACGGCUAACUACGUG